rnacentral:lncRNA from 1 species
UGAAGGCCCGCGGCCCAUGGGAGCCGCCAGCGGAAGUCACCCGAGUGAGGAGGCGUGGCCUAAGGAACAUUCCUUAUUUCAACGAGUGACCAAGGAAACUUCGAGGAAUGCUGUGACGGGCC